CAGGCGUUGGGGGGUGGCUCCGUGCAAUUGCAGACUGGAGCGCUCAUGGAAGCGGUGAGGUGCUCCGAGCACGGGAUCGUGUGCUUUCUCAAGACCGGCGUCCGCGAUGGCCCGAAUAAAGGAAAGAGCUUCUACGUGUGCCCGGCUAACACCUGCAGCUUCGUGCUGGCAGCCGAUAUUCCUGUCUCUCAUUGUUUAUUGCACGAGGACUGUGUGGUAGGGCUUCAGGGUUUGCUUCUACCGCCAGGCAAGGAAGAAUAUAGAUUGUUCUUCCAGUGCAUUAGAAGUAAGGCGGCGGGGAAGCAAUGGUGCGGAAGUAUCCCAUGGCAGGAGCCUCGUUCCAAAGAGCAUUCUGUAACCAACAAGUCUCAGCAUGCCUGUGAGCCUCUUCAUUAUCUUUCCACCCAGCAGAGAAACCCAUUCAAGGUCCUGGACAAGAAUCAAGAACCGUCUCUCUGGAAACAGUUCACCAAAGGCGAAGCUGGGGAUAAGAUGAAUGAUAAGAAGCAAAAGGAAAAGGCAGAUGUGCUCUUGGAUCAAAAGAAGGAAUGGAAGCCCGAAUCCAACUGCUGGACGAAGCAAGAUCUCUCAUCUGGCCUGGAGGUAAAGAAAAAACAACCUGCACCUCAAGAGCAGCUGCAAGGGGAGAAGACAGAGUUUCAGCGUGCAGCAAGGGAGAAUGAAGGGAUGCACAUAAGAAACCUUUCUGAGGUUAAAUCCAAGCAGUGCCAUGGUGAGGAGCAGAGGAAACCAUCUGGGUCUCUUCAGGAGAAAUCACACGUUGAGAGUCAUCCUGUCCAAAAAAAAUCAGGGCCUCUGAGGGAAAAGGAAACCAAGCCUUUGCAUGGAAUUAUUCACAGUCAGAACCCAAUAAGCAAGCCCCAGAAAGGGGAACACGUCAGCAAAGAGCACCCCAAGAGCCAGGAGGCUAGAGAAACAAAGGCAAGGGACGAGCCAGGCUCGCAGACCACCCGACAGUCAGAGCCUGGGGAUGGGCCUGCGCCACCGGCCACAGGGCUCUCCCUGGGACAGAGGCCGGAAGCGGCCUCCAGCCGUGGCGACCGUUAUGAGAAUAAUGCCGUUUUCACUUCCUCUGAGCCUCCCUUGCUCUUUGACUCGACUCCGGACUCACACAAGGAGGAGAACCUCCCGUUCCCUGGUCAGAGUGUGCAGAGAAAACCAUCUCCUGCCUCGGGUGUUUCCAGGAAGGUGGAGCCUUCAGACCCAGCAGCCCAACGUGUAUACCUCACAACACAACUGAAGCAAAAGAAGAGCACACUGAGAUCGGUGGACAUCCAGGCUCUUCCAGACAAGGGUCAGAAGUUGCUCCAGCAAAUUCAGGAGUUGGAGGAAGCCCUUGGUGCUCUUGCCCUCACCGCAGAGCCAGACACUAAUGAGAAGAGUAACGCUCCAGUACCACAACAGAGACACUCCACCAAAAGUACCACUGAGCCCCCUCACUUGGUGCCUCCCCGACCCCUGCAGGGCCAGGGUCUCCAGCCUCUGGGUUCUCAAGGACUGAAGGCUGCCUGCCCGGUAGCUGCUGGGGGAUCCAGUUGGUGCUAUGGAGGUCCUACGAAACAGGACGGCCCCCAUGCCAUGUGGGAAAUCAUAAGUAAAGCCAUUGAUGAGCUGCACGCGUCCCUUGAGUCUCGGCCCGGUGAGACAGCCGUGGCAGAGGAUCCAGCUGGGCUGAAGCUCCCUUUGCUACUGCACCAGAAGCAGGCGUUGGCCUGGUUGCUAUGGAGGGAAAGUCAGAAGCCACACGGAGGAAUUCUGGCGGAUGAUAUGGGAUUAGGGAAAACCCUGACAAUGAUUGCACUCAUCCUGACCCAGAAGAAUCAAGAGAAGAACAAACAAGAGGACAAAAACACGGCAUUGACUUGGCUUUCCAGAGAUGACCCCUGUGAGUUCACUUCCCAUGGAACGCUGAUCAUCUGUCCUGCCUCCCUGAUUCAUCACUGGAAAAACGAGGUGAUGAAAUGUGUGAGCCACAACACGCUAAGAGUCUAUCUCUAUCAUGGGCCCAAUCGGGAUCAGCGUGCAAAAGCCGCAGGCAUUUUUAUAAAGGGAUCACCUCCAGCUCUCCUGUCAGUCAUGGCGGGAUCGUUUACUGUUUGCCUUGUGUCCUGUCGGUGCAGCCUCUCUACCUAUGACGUCGUGAUCACGACCUAUACCCUUCUGGCCAAGGAGAUUCCCACACAGAAAGAAGAGGGGGUGGUCCCCGGUGCAAACCCCGGUGUGGGGAAGGAUAGUGCAAAAACGCCUUUGCUUCGAAUAGUCUGGGCUCGAAUCAUAUUGGAUGAAGCUCACUGUGUGAGGAACCCACGAGUGCAGACUUCCAUGGCUGUGUGCAGGCUCCAAGCCCAGGCCCGUUGGGCUGUCACUGGAACCCCCAUUCAGAACACCUUGUUGGACAUGUAUUCACUGCUCAAAUUUCUCCGUUGUUCUCCAUUCAAUGAUUUCCGACUGUGGAAGAGCCAGGUUGACAAUGGUUCAAAGAAAGGAGGAGAACGGUUAAGUAUUUUAACCAAGAGCCUUUUGCUGAGGAGAACAAAAGACCAGCUGGACUCCACAGGCCAGCCCUUGGUGAUGCUGCCCCAGCGUAAAUUUCAAGUGCACCAUUUAAAGCUUUCUGAAGAUGAAGAGAAUGUGUACAGUGUCCUUUUGGCAAGAUCAAGGUCAGCUCUGCGAUCCUAUCUAAAAGGGCGUGAAGGUGGGGGCAGCCAAUCUGGAAGAAGCCCUGAUAAUCCAUUCAGUAAAGUGGCCCAGGAGUUUGCUGGGCCCCGGAUGGUGGCAGACUCGCAGAGAUCCAGCACUCCCCACGUACUGUUGACCCAGUUGCUGAGACUUCGCCAGUGUUGCAGUCACCUGUCUCUCCUGAAAUCGGCCCUGGACCCAGCAGAACUGAAAAGCGAGGGCCUCGCCCUUUCUCUGGAAGAGCAGCUCAGUGUUAUGACGUUGUCUGAACUCUGUGACACGGAGCCGUCUCCCCUCAUUUCCCUUAAUGGUGAACAGUUCAAGGCAGAGCUUUUUGAGAACACAAGAGCGAGCAGCAAGAUUUCAUCUCUGUUGGUGGAAUUGGAGGCAAUCCGAGGAAAUUCAGCAUCCCAAAAGAGUGUCGUGGUCUCCCAGUGGACCAGCAUGCUGCAGGUUGUAGCGGGCCACCUCAGGAAGCAUGGCCUGACUUACGCCACCAUCGAUGGCUCUGUCAGCCCCAAACAGAGAAUGGACUUGGUGGAGGCCUUUAACAGCUCCAGGGGCCCCCAGGUUAUGCUAAUCUCUCUCUCGGCUGGAGGUGUGGGUCUAAACCUGACUGGAGGAAACCACCUUUUUCUUCUGGAUAUGCACUGGAAUCCAUCACUUGAAGACCAGGCCUGUGACCGAAUUUACCGAGUUGGGCAGCAGAAAGAUGUUGUCGUGCACAAAUUUAUUUGCGAGGGAACAGUGGAAGAGAAGAUCUUACACCUCCAAGAGAAGAAGAAAACUUUGGCCAAACAGGUCCUAUCAGGAUCUGGCAAAACCGUCAAGAAGCUGACUUUGGCUGACCUCAAAGUCCUUUUUGGCAUCUAACUUCCUGUUUCUAGGGCUCAGGGUGGUGCCACUGAGGGUGUGCAGUAGGGUCUGGAACAAUGACCUGCACGUGGCCCUCUGAGCCCUCCUCGGCUUCUCAUUUCACUGGCAAGCCCUAAGCCCUCCGCGGAAGGUGGCGCCAUCUUAUCCCCGGAAUUGGGCGCCAGUGAUCAUGUUAACCACUUGAUUCAUCGGUCAGGUCAAUCAGUCAACUUAUUGAAGGGUGACUUAGAAACCAAGGAAUGACUUCAGAAAAAAAGAACAUGCCUUAGAGUUAGAUAAUUUUGGAAAACGACACCGGGGGAGCUUCAGUGAAAGCUCAGAAAGCCCUCCAUUGCCUUGUUCUUCUCAGCUCAUGGGGGACCAGUGUUCCUGCCCUUUCCAACGCCGGCUCUCCCUCUCUCCUGCCAGUGAGGUUGCUCCUUUUAACGCCGGGCAGGGCAGAGAGAGGACCCCGAGGCCAAGCCUCUGCAGCUGUCUCCAGCCACACCGUUCUGCCGCACCGGCGUCAGAGCAAGGAGCUGCUUGGUCCCAGAACAGACGUCUGGUAUGGGUGCCCUCAUGCCAUCCGAUAUUGGGUAUCGCUUCACUUCGUGGGGUUCCGUCGCUUCCCGUUGCUAGAGUGUUAUGUGCUGCUUGUGAAAUAAAGUUUACUACCGGGCAUUUUUUCAGUAGAGGCAGACCUCCCUUCAUUGCGCCUUGCAGAUACUGCAUUUCUUGCGACAGCAUUUGCUCACUUCGUGGCCGUGUCCCAUUUUGGCAAUUUUCGCAGUGUUUGCAGCAUUGUUCUAUUUGAAUUGCUGCGAUCUUAUGGUAACAGUGGAACAGAUGAGGCGCUGAGGGAUGAGCCAAGACUGUGGAUUCUUGUGAUGGACGCUACCCCUGGUGAAGACACUGUGAAGAUCGUUGAAAUGAUGACAGAGGAUUUAGAAUACCACAUAAACUUCGUUGAUACAGCAGCGGCAGGAUUUGAGAUGAUUGACUGUAAUUUUGAAAGAAGCUCCGUAGUGUGUAUUCCAUGCUACGGAGAAAUCAUUCAUGAAAGGAAGAGUCCAUCGAUGUGGCAAACUUCACUGUCAUCUUAGUGUAAGAAAUUACCGCAGCCAACACCCUGACCAGUCAGCAGCCAUCGACAUUGAAGCAAGACCCUCCACCGACUCGCUGAAAGCUCAGAUGGUGGUUAGCAAUUUUAGCAAUGAAAGAUUUUUUUUUCAAAAAAUGUGUUUAUUUGUUUAGAGAGAGAACACGCAUGAACAGCGUGAGGGGCAGAGGGAGAGGGAGAGACUUUUAAGCAGACUCCGCACUGAGUGUGGAGCCCAAUGUGGGGCUUGAUCCCACAACCCUGUGAUCAUGACCCAAGCCAAAACCAAGAGUCGGACGCCCAACUGACUGAGCCACCCAGGCGCCCCUGUAAAUAGGAUUUUUUAUAUGCACUGGGAGAUCAAGAGAUUCAUUUGACUCGCUUUACUGUGAUAGUCGCUGUAUCGUGGUCUGGAACUGAAUCUGCAAUAUCCAAGGUAUGCCUGUAUUUGCAUUUUUACAAAUUUACAGUAUUGGUAGCAUGUUUCAUUCUCUCAUUUAGUAUUGUAUCAUUUAGUAUCUGUAUUAUGGUUGGUAUAAUCCAAUAAAUGUGUACUUGACAAUGUA